rnacentral:rRNA from 1 species
CUACGGGGCGCACCAGUGGGGAAUAUUGCACAAUGGGCGCAAGCCUGAUGCAGCCAUGCCGCGUGUAUGAAGAAGGCCUUCGGGUUGUAAAGUACUUUCAGCGGGGAGGAAGGGAGUAAAGUUAAUACCUUUGCUCAUUGACGUUACCCGCAGAAGAAGCACCGGCUAACUCCGUGCCAGCAGCCGCGGUAAUACGGAGGGUGCAAGCGUUAAUCGGAAUUACUGGGCGUAAAGCGCACGCAGGCGGUUUGUUAAGUCAGAUGUGAAAUCCCCGGGCUCAACCUGGGAACUGCAUCUGAUACUGGCAAGCUUGAGUCUCGUAGAGGGGGGUAGAAUUCCAGGUGUAGCGGUGAUAUGUGUAGAGAUCUGGAGGAAUACCGGUGGCGAAGGCGGCCCCCUGGACGAAGACUGACGCUCAGGUGCGAAAGCGUGGGGAGCAAACAGGAUUAGAUACCCGCGUAGUC